rfam:Culex pipiens quinquefasciatus supercont3.124 genomic scaffold, whole genome shotgun sequence.
GCGUGGCCGAAUGGUAACGCUGUCCGCUUUGUAAGCGGAUGAUUCUGGGUUCGAUUCCCAUCUGCUGCA